ACUGAAGACAGAGGACAUUCAGAAACCGGAUCAGAGGACAUUCAGAAACCGGAUCAGAGGACAUUCAGAAACCGGAUCUCACUCAAAACACCAUGGGUAGUGUUUUUUCUAAGUGUGUAUGAUGUGGAAGCACCAGAGACACAAAAUAACCCCCCAAAUCCCAGAAAAAGUGAUUUUUUUUUUUUCAUCAUAACGUGGGCACUUUAAUAACUGAGUUGUUUUUCAUGUGAAAGCAAGUCACGUUUGUUUUUUUGUUUGUUGUGAUUUGAUUUUAACGUGUGGAAAAAAAUCUGCAUCACACACAUGGAAAUGCAUCUUACUAUGCGUAUUGUAUUUAAUUUUUUUUUUUACAGGCCUUUGACAUCAUCCAUAUUAUUCAAAUAUGAUCUAUUAUCAAAAUACAAAGAAAUACACACGGCUGUCUCGUUCCCUAGCAUCCUUUUUAUUUCUGCGUAGACGUGACAAAAGAACAUUUGUGUGAAUAAUUGUCAUGCAGCAGCUGCCGUGUGCCUCCUGAUGAUUGGCGCCUCUUUAUUCUGCCCAUUAAAUGUGUCAUUAUGUUCAUAAUGAGGUUUAAUUUUGGCUCGAUGAAACAUGAACAUUUUGUCAAACUGCAUUCGUGUCAAGGAUUUUAGUUUUUUAAUUUAUAAAGCAGGGUGGGUUAAAAUGUGUUUAAUGUCAACUGUUGAUUAGAGGAUAUAUGAGCAUUUAUACUUACAAACACUCUGUAAAUGAAUUGUGGUUAUUAGAAGAUCUGCAACAUUAGGGUUGGGGUUUCUGGGUUUCAGCGCUGUUUAAGUCACCAAAGUGUAAAUGAAUCCUUUAUCUUCUCCCAUGCUACA